GCUCGGAAGCCCCGCCCUCUGUCAGCAGAAGCCUCGCCUCCUCCAGGUCUCGAAGCGGCCCCGCCCCUUGCGGGCGGUAGCUCCACCCACCAACAGAAGACUUGUCUUUACUCAGCCCCAUCUCCUGGUGGCAGUCCAUCCAAGCCCCGCCCCCUUCAAACGAAUCCCCGCCCACUGUCAAAAGAAGCCCCGCCUUGCUGAGACCAGUCUGGAUUCCAGCCCGAAACCCCACUUUCUGUCAACCGCCGGCCCGCCUCUUCUCGCCUGCGGGUGCCUACCCCAGCACAAACCGCAGCUCCACCCGCUGACACCGAAAGUUCAGUUCAGCCUCACUUCGAACUGCAGUUGAAGACGGAACCACCCUUUGCUUCUCAAAGUCCUCCUUUCCCCCCAUGCCUGCCCCUUCCCCCCUCUCCCCCCACCCGCCGCCCCGCUCACGAGCGUCUCCGCUGAAGGGCUUUCUUUUAAAGAUAUGGUCUUCACCGGACAGCUUCAAUGGGAGCUAGUCCCGAAGAAGAUGCCAGCCAAGGACCCAGGCUUUGGGGAAAACCGGACGGCGUCACCGCCCCUCCUCACCUCCGCUUCCCUUCCCCCCACCCCCACAUCCUUUUUAAAAUUAUGAAACGUGCAAACCAAAGCGGAGAGAAACGUCUCACCCUCCAAGCUGCUCUGCACAGAUUCAUGGGCCUGGACGCUCAACCCUCUGUGCUUUGACAGUAGUACUCCACUGAGCCACAUUAAUCCUAAAAUGUGCAGUUGCUUAAAGUACAACCCUGAUUGUUGAAAUCGAUAUACAGCAGUUCUUUUUUAUUUAUAUGUUUUGUCUUAGAAUCCUAGAACUUGGGGAAACAGAAGCAAGUAAAGCUUAAUGAUCUUAUAAACAGAGGUACUCAACCCUACCAUACUCAACAUCCUGUAUUUACAACAAAAAUGUACCACCACUUUGCUCUCCUGGAAUUAAAUUCGCAGAUAAUGUAAACUACACAAGUAAGUUCAAUAAACCAGUGUAUGUUAUAAAGGUG